AAGAACUGAAAUUCGUUAACAAGGUUCCUACUUACUCCUCCAGCCAUUAUCCCCUUGUUGGUCUUGAUUUUUACUGCAGUCAAGCCCACAGGGAUGAGUAACAUCGCUGAAGUCACCGAGUUCAAAAUAUCCUGAAACAGGUAGUGGAAGCAAAAUAUUUAUUUGGAAAUACAGGCCUGAAGGAGAACAUGGAGAGCUCCCAACAGAGAAGGCAUGGUGAAAAUGGCUGGAUUGCCAUGAAAACAGAGUUACAGCAGUAUCUGUGUGAGAGGACACUGAGACACUGACACCCAGUGGUUUGAUGGUAAAAAGAGUGUUUAUAGUAAAACUUCCUCAUUUUACAUUUCUUCUGUUGUUUUUGCCUGAUAUAUUUUGCAACUUGGCUACACCUGAUAGACCGAAGCAGCAAAUACAUGUACAAAAGGGAGGUAGGAGCAGAACUCGUGGGUAUUUGGGUGAAAGUGUGUGACUAGUUGGUGGUGUGAAGGUGUUACACAACAAAGGCAAAGAGGCAAACAGUGCCUGUGCCGGGAGGGCUGUUACCGAUCCAGCAGC